UACGUAGGGUGCGAGCGUUGUCCGGAAUUACUGGGCGUAAAGAGCUCGUAGGUGGUUUGUCGCGUUGUUCGUGAAAUCUCACGGCUUAACUGUGAGCGUGCGGGCGAUACGGGCAGACUGGAGUACUGCAGGGGAGACUGGAAUUCCUGGUGUAGCGGUGGAAUGCGCAGAUAUCAGGAGGAACACCGGUGGCGAAGGCGGGUCUCUGGGCAGUAACUGACGCUGGAGGAGCGAAAGCGUGGGGAGUGAACAGG
rnacentral:rRNA from 1 species